rnacentral:tRNA from 1 species
GAGGGUAUAGCUCAAGUGGUAGAGCACAUGCUUAGCAUGCAUGAGGUCCUGGGUUCAAUCCCUAGUACUUCCU